ACCUUCCAUGGUGUAGUUGGUAGCGCCUUGGAUAAGUAAUUAAAAGUCCCAGGUUUAAGUCCCGGUCGGGGUA